rfam:Tetragenococcus muriaticus 3MR10-3 WGS_Sequence059_043, whole genome shotgun sequence.
CGUUAAUGAUUAAGUGUACCGAAGACAGUAGGUGACUCAAGUCGUAAAUCCUACCGAGGACUUUUAUUGAUAAGUAUCAAUAGACCCUCUAUGUCUGCGGUGACAUAGAGUUUUUUUAUUGUAAAA